ACUCCCACAUCUCACCUCAGACGUGCCGCCGCUCUUCUCGCCUCAGAUGCACCGCCGCCCUCCUCGCCUCUCCCUGUCCCGUCCCCAACUGGCACUUCUCGUCUGUGCCCGCCGCGACCGAGCUUGGCGGCCGCUGGAGUCGUGCACGCGCACGCCUUGCCUGCUGGCGGGCGGCACAUGAACCACCAGAUCUGGUGCGGGCGGCUCCUCCGUGUCCCAGCUGCCGCAUUCGGAGGGAAGGGAGACGAGAUGCCGAGCGCCAUGCAGCCGCCCCACUCUGCUCUCGCGUCCUCGUCACUGCGCAACUAAUGCUCCGGCCUCCACACCUCUCCCUCUCUUUCUCCUCAGAUCUGCGCGCUGCUCCCUCUCGCUCAUCGAGGGCCACCGUCUCGCUCGACCUCGCCGCCGCCGCGACGGCCCUCGCGUGGCAGUCAUCUGGGCUCGGCGCGGCCUUCCGCGCGCCCUGCAGCCACUGGCGGGCUCCGGACGCAGAGGCGUGCUGUGGUCGUGGCUACCUCCUGCUAAGGCCGGCGCGGAGGAGGUUGUGCUGCAGCCCAUCAGGGAGAUCUCUGGCACUGUCAAGCUGCUGAGCUCCAUGUCGAUCUCCUACCGAGGUGAGGAAACUCUUCCUCUCUCCGUUUGUCUGUAGAUUGAAUGUGUGGGAGAUGAUGGGGAUGAGCAGGACGGCUUGCAGAUGAUGAAGGAUUUGAAUCUAGUCUUCCACGAUGCUAGCAACCUAUUCGAUCUAAUGCUGGAAUGAUUAUGGAAGAGAAGGUCCAAUGGAUGCAAAGAUGAAAACUCGAGUGUAAUAACUAGCUAUUCAAUGUGCUUCUCAAUUUUAAACCUAAGAUGUAAUUUUUUGACAUGAUGUAACUUGAGAUACUUGCUCUAAAUAUAUACUAUAAUUUCUGGGCUGGAACUGUUGUUUUCAUUUA